rnacentral:lncRNA from 1 species
AUGGAGGCCAAGUGGCUUGCGUUGGAGAGGAUCAAACCUGCGAGGCACGACGGCACGACGAGAAUGGUCGAGGCGAGACCGUGAUGGUUGUGUGAUUUUGGUUUGCUUUGCAUGUGCGAGAUACGAAGAAGAAGCUUCAAGGUGGCGGCUUGGUGGUAGCAACGUCCAUGGAUGCGUGUUGAAGCUGAGUUGCAGAUGUGUUCAUGGUGUAGAAGAUGAAGAUCCCUUUCCACCCAAAAUUUAGGGUUCAGAUUUGGGGAAAAGGGCACACAAAGUGGAAUUGGAAAAUGCUGGAGGCUGCUUUUGGGUUUGUUUUCUGCAAGUGCGAGAUGCGAGGGUGAUGGAGGUGUGAUGAUGAUGGAGGUGCGAGGGUGAUGGAGGUACGAUGGUGAUGGAGGUGCGAGGGUGAUGGAGGUACGAUGGUGAUGGAGGUGCGAGGGUGAUNUGAUGGAGGUGCGAGGGUGAUGGAGGUACGAUGGUGAUGGAGGUGCGAGGGUGAUGGAGGUACGAUGGUGAUGGAGGUGCGAGGGUGAUAGAGGUGCAAGGGUGAUGAAGGUGCGAGGGUGAUAGAGGUGCAAGGGUGAUGGAGGUGCGAUGGUGAUGGAUGUGCGACGGUGAUGGAGGUGCGAUGGUUGAUGAUGGCGUGCGAGGAAGAAGAUGAUGGACGGUGGUCGGCGGUUGGGGUUUGGGUAAUGGUAGAGGAAUUAGGGUUUCAGAGGAAGAAGAAAGUCUUCUUUUUUUCCUACUUUGCCCAAAAAAAAUUCUAAUUCCAACUGAAAAGGAUUCCCAGUCAGCAAAAAAUUGACACCUC